GAUGAACGCUGGCGGCGUGCCUAAUACAUGCAAGUCGAGCGAAUGGAUUAAGAGCUUGCUCUUAUGAAGUUAGCGGCGGACGGGUGAGUAACACGUGGGUAACCUGCCCAUAAGACUGGAUAACUCCGGGAAACCGGGGCUAAUACCGGAUAACAUUUUGAACCGCAUGGUUCGAAAUUGAAAGGCGGCUUCGGCUGUCACUUAUGGAUGGACCCGCGUCGCAUUAGCUAGUUGGUGAGGUAACGGCUCACCAAGGCAACGAUGCGUAGCCGACCUGAGAGGGGGAUCGGCCACACUGGGACUGGGACACGGCCCAGACUCCUACGGGAGGCAGCAGUAGGGAAUCUUCCGCAAUGGACGAAAGUCUGACGGAGCAACGCCGCGUGAGUGAUGAAGGCUUUCGGGUCGUAAAACUCUGUUGUUAGGGAAGAGCAAGUGCUAGUUGAAUAAGCUGGCACCUUGACGGUACCUAACCAGAAAGCCACGGCUAACUACGUGCCAGCAGCCGCCGUAA
rnacentral:rRNA from 1 species